rnacentral:rRNA from 1 species
GAGUUUGAUCAUGGCUCAGAGCGAACGCUGGCGGCAGGCCUAACACAUGCAAGUCGAACGGACCCUUCGGGGUUAGUGGCGGACGGGUGAGUAACACGUGGGAACGUGCCUUUAGGUUCGGAAUAGCUCCUGGAAACGGGUGGUAAUGCCGAAUGUGCCCUUCGGGGGAAAGAUUUAUCGCCUUUAGAGCGGCCCGCGUCUGAUUAGCUAGUUGGUGAGGUAAUGGCUCACCAAGGCGACGAUCAGUAGCUGGUCUGAGAGGAUGACCAGCCACACUGGGACUGAGACACGGCCCAGACUCCUACGGGAGGCAGCAGUGGGGAAUCUUGCGCAAUGGGCGAAAGCCUGACGCAGCCAUGCCGCGUGAAUGAUGAAGGUCUUAGGAUUGUAAAAUUCUUUCACCGGGGACGAUAAUGACGGUACCCGGAGAAGAAGCCCCGGCUAACUUCGUGCCAGCAGCCGCGGUAAU